GCAUCGGUGGCUUAGUGGUAGAAUGCUCGCCUGCCACACGGGCGGCCCGGGUUCGAUUCCCGGCCGAUGCA
rnacentral:tRNA from 1 species